rnacentral:rRNA from 1 species
GAUGAACGCUGGCGGCGUGCCUAAUACAUGCAAGUAGAACGCUGAAGGAAGGAGCUUGCUCUUUCCGGAUGAGUUGCGAACGGGUGAGUAACGCGUAGGUAACCUGCCUGGUAGCGGGGGAUAACUAUUGGAAACGAUAGCUAAUACCGCAUAACAGUAGAUGUUGCAUGAUAUCUACUUAAAAGGUGCAAUUGCACCACUACCAGAUGGACCUGCGUUGUAUUAGCUAGUUGGUGAGGUAACGGCUCACCAAGGCGGCGAUACAUAGCCGACCUGAGAGGGUGAUCGGCCACACUGGGACUGAGACACGGCCCAGACUCCUACGGGAGGCAGCAGUAGGGAAUCUUCGGCAAUGGACGGAAGUCUGACCGAGCAACGCCGCGUGAGUGAAGAAGGUUUUCGGAUCGUAAAGCUCUGUUGUAAGAGAAGAACGAGUGUGAGAGUGGAAAGUUCACACUGUGACGGUAUCUUACCAGAAAGGGACGGCUAACUACGUG